GUGAGUCAUCGAAUCUUUGAACGCACAUUGCGCCCGCUAGUAUUCUAGCGGGCAUGCCUGUUCGAGCGUCAUUUCAACCCUCAAGCACUGCUUGGUGUUGGGGCCCUACAGCUUCUGUAGGCCCUGAAAACUAGUGGCGGGCUCGCUAUAACUCCGAGCGUAGUAGUAAUAUCUCGCUUAGGAUGUGAUGGCGGGAUCCGGCCGUUAAACCCCCUAAUUUUCUGAAUGUUGACCUCGGAUCAGGUAGGAAUACCCGCUGAACUUAAGCAUAUCAAUAAGCGGAGGA
rnacentral:misc_RNA from 1 species